AAAAGGUUUUCCAGAUUCUGAGCAGUGAGGGAAGAGUUUUCACCCAGGACCCCUUGUGCUGCCAGUGGCUUAAAAAAGGAGUGGCAACACUGGGCUUCCAGUGGCCCUCUUGACUGUGAAGAGAGGAGAAGAUGCCCACCUUCUGUAGCCACACCUAGGGCCUAGUGCUUGACAGGUAUGGGGAAAGACUUCUGGCCCCUGUUGAAAGCAGGCUUGACUCCUGGGGGAAGCAGUCACAUGGAUGAAAACCAGAAGCCUUCCGAAGGGGCAGUGGACAGUCUGCUCUGAGUGGAACAAGACCAGAGCAUCAGACAACAGGCUAGAUGUUUGCUGGCCCAUAGCGGGAGAGUGGCUGGUGCCCAUCAGAGUCUACUGUCAGUGCUUUUAUUUAACACCUUGGAUAUGAGUGAAAGAUCAGGGUAUUGUUGCAAAUGAUAUUGAUCCAAAAUAUUAUCUUUACCUAUGCUA